AGGAGGAACAGCCCCAGUGGCGGGGCCAGCUCUGCAGCCCUGGAGUCAGCCCCCGCAGGAACUCCAGAGCUCUCGGUCUGCAGGGCCUGGAGGCUCCGGGGCGGG
rnacentral:pre_miRNA from 1 species